UCUAAUAGAAACCUCUAUACAAGCCUAAGCAGUACAAUGAUUACAUCAUUAAAACUUAAAAAUUGUGGCGGCAGCUUAAACAUUCAGGGGAACUUACCAUAUAAUUGAUAACCAACAAGGGAUUCUCACCUGUUCUUAUAAUUAGUAUACCGCCGUCUUUAAAUUCUUUUAAGAAGAUUUUAAAAAAAAUAUAACUUUAAAAUGACAGGUCAUGGUGCUGUAAAUGUUCAGGAAUUUGAGGUGAGUUACUAUACCUAGGAUUUGUACAGAUUAUAACCUUUAAACUCUUAUAUGAAGGAGGACUUGACCGUAAAGUAUAUUUCUUAUUAAACCAAGCUUGACCAUUAUGGAACAAAUAAUACUUGAAAAGUAAUUAAGCUGUGC
rnacentral:rRNA from 1 species